rnacentral:rRNA from 1 species
UACGUAGGGUGCGAGCGUUGUCCGGAAUUAUUGGGCGUAAAGAGCUCGUAGGCGGUGUGUCACGUCGGCCGUGAAAACCUGCAGCUUAACUGUGGGCGUGCGGUCGAUACGGGCAUCACUGGAGUUCGGCAGGGGAGACUGGAAUUCCUGGUGUAGCGGUGAAAUGUGCAGAUAUCAGGAGGAACACCGGUGGCGAAGGCGGGUCUCUGGGCCGAUACUGACGCUGAGGAGCGAAAGCGUGGGGAGCAAACAGG